rnacentral:rRNA from 1 species
AACGAACGCUGGCGGCAGGCCUAACACAUGCAAGUCGAGCGGACCCUUCGGGGUUAGCGGCGGACGGGUGAGUAACGCGUGGGAAUAUGCCCUUCUCUACGGAAUAGUCCUGGGAAACUGGGGGUAAUACCGUAUACGCCCUUUGGGGGAAAGAUUUAUCGGGGAAGGAUUAGCCCGCGUUGGAUUAGGUAGUUGGUGGGGUAAUGGCCUACCAAGCCGACGAUCCAUAGCUGGUUUGAGAGGAUGAUCAGCCUCACUGGGACUGAGACACGGCCCAGACUCCUACGGGAGGCAGCAGUGGGGAAUCUUAGACAAUGGGGGCAACCCUGAUCUAGCCAUGCCGCGUGAGUGAUGAAGGCCUUAGGGUUGUAAAGCUCUUUCAGCUGGGAAGAUAAUGACGGUACCAGCAGAAGAAGCCCCGGCUAACUCCGUG